GGGACUUCAAGCAUGGCUGACCCCAGGAGCUCAAACAACAGCAGCAUGAUAUGGCGGUUAGAAACAACUUGCUUCUAACCAACAGAACACAGCAAAGCUUGUGCACUCGGAUGAAGAUAGCUGCCAUGUUGGAAGGGCCUGCAUGGCCAGAAAUGGAGGCAGCUUCCAGUCAACAACCAGUGAGGACUGAGACUCUCGAUCAAACAGCCCUCCCAGGAACCAAAUUCCACCAACAACCAUGUGAGCUUGGGUGCAGAUCUUUUCUCAAUCAAACCUCCCGCUGAGAUGCCAGCUAUGGCUGACAUCUUGCUUGCAAACUGAUGAAAGACCCAGAAGCAGGGGACCUGGCUGAACUGCGCCCAGAUUCCUGACCCAUGGAAACUGUGAGAUAAUGAGAGAGAGAGAGAGAGAGAGAGAGAGAGAGAGAGAGAGAGAGUGUGUGUGUGUGUGUGUGUGUGUGUGUGUGUGUGUUUAAAUAUAUAUAUUUUUCGUAGAGAUGGAGUCUUGCUUUGUUGCCCAGGUUGAUCUUAAACUUCUGGCCUCAAACGAUCCUCCCAAAGUGCUGGGAUUACAGGCGUGAGCCACCAUGUCUGGCCAUGUAUGUUUUUUGGUUUUUGUGUUUUUUUUGAGACAGGGUUUUGCUCUGUCUUCCAGACUGGAGUGUGGCAGUGCAAUCUCAGGUCACUGCAACCUCUGCCACCCGGGUUCAAGCAAUUCUCCUGCCUCAGCCUCCCGAGUAGCUGGGAUUACAGGCAUGCACCACCGUGCCUGCCUAAUUUUGUAUUUUUAGUAGAGACAGGGUUUUGCCAUGUUGGCCAGGCUGGUCUCGAACUCCUGACCUCAAGUGAUCUGCUUGCUUUGGCCUCCCAAAGUGCUGGGAUUACAGGUGUGAGCCACUGCUCCCAGUCCCACGUACAUUGUUUUAAGCAGCCAGGUUUGUGGCAAUUUUCUAUGCAGCAAUGAAUAAUGAAUACAUACCCUCAUCUCUGAGAGAGGCUGGGAAGGUAAUUUUUAGCUUGGUACAUUGCCAUCACCAACAAAAUUGGGGUUCCCUACGAAAAAGGAGGAGAAUGGAUAUUGCUGGGAAAGGCACAGGUAUCUCACAGAAGCCACUGAGGCAUACCUGGGAGGAGAAGCCAGUGUCUUGGAUCAGGGCAGUGGCAGCAGGAAUGGAGGGUAGCGAUUGGAUUCCUGGUUCCUGAGGUAGCAGCAAUCUUAUUUCUUUUAGAACAGUCUUCCUUUCACUUAUUACCAGUUGGCAAGGUCCCCUUAGCUCCUCUCAUACAUGACCUGGUUCCUACACAGAGUUCCAGAAAUGGAGCUCAAAUCAGAAAUCCAAAGCAUUGCAGGAAAAACAGACUGGGCACAAAAGCCACUGGCUAGUUCCAAGUCACACCUUUCCUCUCAUUCCCCGCUAUUCAGUGGGUUUCUGGUAGUAUGAUUCAGUAGGAUCUGG
rnacentral:lncRNA from 1 species